AUCUACAGCCAUGCCACCCUGAACACGCCCGAUCUCUGAUCUCGGAAGCUAAGCAGGGUCGGGCCUGGUUAGUGCUUGGAUGGGAGACCACCUAGGAAGACCAGGUGCUGUAGGUG
rnacentral:rRNA from 1 species